GAUGAACGCUGGCGGCGUGCCUAAUACAUGCAAGUCGAGCGAACGGACGAGAAGCUUGCUUCUCUGAUGUUAGCGGCGGACGGGUGAGUAACACGUGGAUAACCUACCUAUAAGACUGGGAUAACUUCGGGAAACCGGAGCUAAUACCGGAUAAUAUUUUGAACCGCAUGGUUCAAAAGUGAAAGACGGUCUUGCUGUCACUUAUAGAUGGAUCCGCGCUGCAUUAGCUAGUUGGUAAGGUAACGGCUUACCAAGGCAACGAUGCAUAGCCGACCUGAGAGGGUGAUCGGCCACAAUGGAACUGGGACACGGUCCGGACUCCUACGGGAGGCAGCAGUAGGGAAUCUUCCGCAAUGGGCGAAAGCCUGACGGAGCAACGCCGCGUGAGUGAUGAAGGUCUUCGGAUCGUAAAACUCUGUUAUUAGGGAAGAACAUAUGUGUAAGUAACUGUGCACAUCUUGACGGUACCUAAUCAGAAAGCCACGGCUAACUACGU
rnacentral:rRNA from 1 species